rnacentral:rRNA from 1 species
AUGAACGCUGGCGGCGUGCCUAAUACAUGCCAGUCGAGCGAACAGACGAGGAGCUUGCUCCUCUGACGUUAGCGGCGGACGGGUGAGUAACACGUGGAUAACCUACCUAUAAGACUGGGAUAACUUCGGGAAACCGGAGCUAAUACCGGAUAAUAUAUUUAACCGCAUGGUUCAAUAGUGAAAGACGGUUUUGCUGUCACUUAUAGAUGGAUCCGCGCCGCAUUAGCUAGUUGGUAAGGUAACGGCUUACCAAGGCAACGAUGCGUAGCCGACCUGAGAGGGUGAUCGGCCACACUGGAACUGAGACACGGUCCAGACUCCUACGGGAGGCAGCAGUAGGGAAUCUUCCGCAAUGGGCGAAAGCCUGACGGAGCAACGCCGCGUGAGUGAUGAGGGUCUUCGGAUCGUAAAACUCUGUUAUUAGGGAAGAACAAAUGUGUAAGUAACUAUGCACGUCUUGACGGUACCUAAUCAGAAAGCCACGGCUAACUACGUG